UGUUUGAAGGAGUGUGAGGCCCUCCGGCUUCAAAACCUAAAGCAUAAUUCUGCAACAGUCAGUACUCGGCUAAACGUGAAAUUUUGUCGACAGGACUACCUAGGGAACAGAAAACAAGAAGCAGGAAGGACUGCCAACUGUCAAUAUGGUACGGGAAUAAAAAUAGAAAUAUGUUCUGUUAUUGUUCUUUGUACAAAAUUUCGUACAAUCCAGUUGCGCAAAAAGGGCACUGUACUCUCUUAUUUCAUAAACUGGCCAUUUGGCCUAUAUGAAUCCUUGUUAUAAAGGGAAAUUAGGAUAUAGGUCAGUGAAAAUUUUCAGAGUCCCAGAAGAUGUAACUAGGUGUAUCACUGCCUUGUAAGUAUGGCCUUUGGAGCUAUGUAUCAAGCGCAUUUGUCUGUAACGUA